GCCUGACUAGCUCAGCUGGAGAAGUGUGCGACUCCUGAUCUUAGGGUUGUGGGUUCAAGCCCCACGUGGGGCA
rnacentral:tRNA from 1 species